ACUCUAUGGUGAGGGUAGCAUCUAAGUAGGUCCUUAUAUCUCUCCCAGGUGUCGUACAUAGACUCAUCAUCAAACUGCACAAAGAAGAUAUGUCAUUUCUAAGUUU
rfam:Ricinus communis cultivar Hale ctg_1100012360783, whole genome shotgun sequence.